UCCCAUAACAACUUUAUCCUGUGCCUUAGGUUUCAAAUGUAUACACUGUAUAUCGUAAUGCAACAUGUUUAAAGUAUAUGUCUACUUAUGCUGUGUUCACAUGAUUGUUUAACAUAUGCUGUCUAGCUCUGAGCUGGUUCAUUCAAAUUUCCUCUUGAUGAUUGAUGAUUUUGCACUUACUAUGUUGGGAGUUAUUACAACAUAUCCUCUAGCUUUGCUGCAGGUUGAUUGUGGUUGGGUCAAGUAGGGUAGGCUAAGGACAUGUUCCAGACCCAACUUCUCUGUUUUAAGCACCACUUCCUUGCACGUAGGUAGAACAUAAAACUGUCUAGGAUUGUUUGCUAAAAGUGCAUGCUUGCAGGGUUAAUUUAUCACGUGAUUGUUUGUCUCGACGGAUUUGCUCAAUGUGUUGAUCACAAGAUUAUGACUAAUGGUCCCAAGGUGACUAGCAUUUCCUUUCUGUAUCCUAUAUAAGCUGUAGGAUGUCUAAUAAACUUUGGUCUAUGUUUGAACUGCAUUUCGGUGUCAGUGUCUUUCAUGGUCCCCUGAUAUAUAUCAGACUUCUCUGCUGCUCAUCUCAGACCUCAUCGAACUACCUCAGCACAGAAAACUAAAGAAACUCUCAUACCUCUAGACCUGCUUAGAAUUAGAUUCUAACAGUUGGGCGCUCGUCCGGCGAAAGGGGGGAGAUCCUCCGACAGAUCCGGAGACCGAAAAUUCGAACACCGCAGAUCGGGAAGGACCUACAAAAGGGGUAAGUGUUUGCGAUAUUUCUAAUUUUGAAAUACAGCGCUUACCCCCUGUAGUGUCCGGUCUUGUGACUCGAGACAAGAUUUUUAAUUCACUCGGGGCCGAAAAGGCAUGUAGCAAGUGCUACAGAAUAUAACGAGUGAGGGUGCUCGCUUCGAAGGACAGAGGGAUUUGGUCGAGAUUAAAUUCGAACACUAAGUUCCGUGAAUAGCUGGAGUUGAAUACUGCCAGCUACAUAGCUAGACUAUGGAUCGAAGCGAAGUCAAAUAUACAGCUGGAGCUCACUGUAUAUUUGGGAUCGCGGUGUUGGUAAAUUGUUAUUUAAUCGUAUAUUUUACGAGUGCGGCCCGUGUUGAAUAAGCUGAUUGGAAAUAAGCUAACAGUGAAAAAGCUAUUAUUUACAUAUGCCCUUUGAAUGAAAUUGUGAACAAAUAAAAUUUGGACUAAUUCGCUGAAAUUGAAUUUGCAAUUUUGAAAUAAUAAAUUGCUAAAUCGAUGACUGAAUUUUACAAUACGAAUUGACAAAUGAAUGUCUAAAAUCUACGAACGGUACGAAAUUAUAACUGAGGCUGAGCGGAGGAGCACAGAAAAAACCCGGGUGUUUGUCUAUUGCUUAUUUGUACUUAUUGCUGUUUGCUUGUUAUUGCUGCUAUUAUUUGUUUACAUUGUGUUGAAGAUGGGUGAUUCUGCUACGGCCAGGCAAAAGCCUGAUGAAUUUAUGUAUACAAAUAAUAGAGGUUUUUAUGUUGAACUGUACGUCACUUAGCGGUUAGUAAUAUAAUAACUUUGCAUUGAAAAACCCCAACGCAAGAUGCGCUGCCAUAUUUUAUAUCGAAUAGUAGGCUAACAGCCUAAGUUUAUCGUCGCCACAAAUUGCUGUAAAAUACGUGAAUGUUUUGCAAUCUCACAAGAGGUAUGCACACGUAACAGGGGCAGAUUUGUGCUAUUUUGUUGAAAACAUUACCGAUGUAACAAAAAACAUAACUGAUACGUGCCGCUGUCUGAUUCGGGAAAACCAUGUGACUGGAGGUGAGGGGACUGCAGCCUCUCGCAAUCCACUCACACGGGAAGAUCAUGAAUAUCAUGAUAUGCUUUUUUGAUCAGCUGCGCGUUCUUCUAAAUAAACGGUUUGGCAUUUACCAGUAUUUAUCAUUUGCAUUAAACGGAAAGAUAAAACCAAAUGAAACUGCCUCUGAAUUUUGCACACGUUUCAAAGCAUUAUGAGUUUAUUCUAGAUUACAGAUUGACAAAGUCUGAGUGCGCUGUUACAAAUAUGCUGUUGAAUAAUAUGAAUCAUAGGUAAGUGAAAUCCGUUGGAUAUGAAUGUGAUUAGACUGAUUUGUGAGUCUGAUGCAUCUGGUGAACAUGCUAUGUUUUCAGUGCAAGUCUCAUCGAACGGGAAAAGGUUGCUUAAGCACCGGAAAGGAAACUGAGAUUUGAUAUAAUGUGUUAUUAUGUGGACAAAGGGGCCACAUGAAAUGUGACUGUCGUUCAAAAGGGGGGUGAAAUUUUAUUCCAAGGGCGCAACCACGUAGACAGUCAAUGCAACAGCCAAAGCAAGUGCAUCAGAAACUAUCUGACAGUAAUUACCAGACAACUGGCAUAACAAAACACAAUGAAAUGUUCUGACCCAUUACACCACCUCUGGAGACAUACAGUGAUCCUCUGCCUAUGGGGGGAGGAAGUAAGAAGGCCGACCAAGACCCAGUAGCCGCCCGCAUACCACAUGAUGUAGACACCUUGAUUAACCCAUGCCUAUGAACUCAGUCAAACAAUGAUACAGGUUUCAUUGAUAUGAAACCAUUUAAAAGUUAAACUUAAACCUGUGUACAUCAAACAAUAUCCUUUGUCAAAAGAAAAGAUGGCAUUAAACCUAUUAUUUACCAUUUUGUUUAACAGGGUGUCCUCGUACCUACUCGCCAUACAACACACCGAUUAACCCGGUGGUGAAUGCUGAUGGAAAGACAUAAUGUCUUACACAAGAUUUAAGAGCACUCAAUAAACUGAUAAUUCCUCUGUCUCUGAUUGUUCCAGAUGUGCCGACUGUUAUAAAUUUUAUACCAUGCACACAUAAGUAUUUCUGUCAUUGAUUUGUGUGCUGCUUUUGUUUCUCUGUUCCAGUGCAUCCAGACACACAGCCACUGCUAGCCUUAUAGGAUAGGGGGCGCCUGAACUAAGAAGGGUAUGUUGACUCACCAUCCGUCCUCUCCGCUGCAGUGGAAAAAAGACAUUGAAAAAAAAAAAAAGAUCAACUUCCUAUUUUCGGGUUUGCUGUCUGCUGUAUGCCGAUGACAUCAUGGUCUCUGCUCUGACUGAAAAGAACUGUGAGAAAGCCUCCAUUAUCGUCUGCAAUAUUCUGGUGGACGCUGGUUUCAAAGCAUCAAAAAACAGCUCCAGUGGGUCAAGAAAAAGUUCUCGUGCCUGGGUCACAUCAUAAUGCCAGGUCUUCAAAAAACCUCCACAGUUCAGAUUGAACUGAUCGGGAAGAUUAAAUUCCCACGAACUGUGUAACAGCUCCAAAGUUUUCUGGAGUUCAUAAACUGUUGUCGCUCAUGGAAACCUGAGUGUGCUGCCCAUGACGGACAUUUGCAGAGCCUGAUUGAUCACAAGGCAUCGCCUGCAUCACUGAUAUGCUGGACUGAUGAAGCAGAGACUCAUUUCAUGGCACUGAAACACGCCAUUACUGCGGCCACAACUCUGGGCCAUCCGAACUAUGCAAAAACUUUUUACCUGCAUGCGUGAGAGGCGAAGGGUGUGGCUCUGGGUAUCCUUUGGCAACAACAAGGUUGCACUUAUAGGCCAGUGGCAUAUCUGUCUAGAAAACUAGAUCAUGCAGUUCCAGGUAUGCCUGAAAUGUCUUUAUGCAGUGGCUGCUGAUGUUCUGUUUGUACAGGUGGCUGAGAGAACGGUGCUGUCACAGUCAAUGAUUCUACACAUCACAUCAAGUAGGUGCAUUUUUACACAACACAGGAUGGCACAGAGGCGAUUUGGGUAUGAGGCUACGCUGUUGGCAACCAAAAAUUUAACGAUCCAGCCCACUUUUAACAUUAAUUCCACUUUUGCUGGGAGUUUUGGGACUGGUAGACAUGACUGAGCACGAUCUAAAACAUGAUUGUAUUGUUGAAUUGACCACUUCCUGUUCCUCUAGGGCCGAUUUAAUGGAAUCGCCCCUAGAUGGGGGGGUCAGAUCUAUGUGGAUGGCUCAUAUACAAAGCCAUCGGACGGUGUCUACCUGUGUGGUUAUGCUGUGGUGUCGGAUACUGGUGAGGUUAUUAAAGCCUUUGCUCUAAAUUACAACUCAGCACAAGGUGCAGAAUUGGUAACUCUAUUACGAGCUUGUGAGCUAAUGAAAGGAAAAAAGCCACAAUCUACACGACUCAAAAUAUGUGUAUUCUAAAUUUUGUAAAAACAUGGGAAGCCUGAGAUUUUAAGACAGCAGAUGGUAAGCCUAUAGUUUAUUCAAAUUUGAUAUGACGGUUGACAAAAGCAGUACAGCUACCGUCUGAAGUGGCAAUAGUGAAAGUAAAAGGUCAUGAAUCAGGAAAUAAUGACCAGGCUAUGGGAAACAAGAAGAGCAGAUGAGGCUGCAAAAGAAGCAGCUCAAGCUCAAAUUAAAUCACUAUUUGAGUAUGAUGUCAAAACAGACCUUGCUAUGGUUGUGCAAGUGACUAACAUGAUAUUGAUAUAAAAUUUUUCGAAUAUUGGAGCAAAUAUGGAUGUGCACCAGAUGAAAAGGGAGUCAUGAGAGACGAGAAAGGAAGAGUAGCGUUUUCAAAACUGGGACUGGUAAUUUUAAUAAGAUAUUACCAUGGUCUAUCAUAUACCAGUAGUACAAAGGUGACACAAGCAAUUAAUCCAUUUUAUUAUAUUGCAGAUAAAAAGAAAACCAACAAAUUGAUUUUGGACUCAUGUUUAACAUGUGCAAAAUUGAACCCGCAUCGAAAACCAAAA